AAGAGUCUGAGGAGCUGGGUAAGAAAAGGGGCUGAUGGGGCUGCCUGCCCCCAGCAUCCAGACACUCUGCCUAGUCCAGAAAUCCCAGAUCCAGCUCUUACUUUGUCUACUGUUUGCUCAGGGCUGACAUAUCACGUGCACAGAGCAGGGAUGUUGCAGUUGCAAGAUUCCUGCACUGAGUGAGGAGUUGGAUUAGAUGAUCUCCAAGGACCUUUCCCACUCUAUGAUUGAUAUAGGACAACUCCAAGGACAACAGGUGCCCUGUUUAGUACCAGCAUCACAGAAUCACCACCCAGCCCAUCGGACACUCUCCAGUGGGACACGCCACUGCCACCCACCUCUGAGACGCAGCUAGGUACGUCGGACAUUUCCCCGCCUAGCGAUGCCCAGUUUCCCACGCCCAACUGACUGUUAGAAGCCCCCCUCCAUGGGAGGGGGAGCCAGAGAUCAAAUCAUCUUCACCCCACAUGUGGAGGCACCAAAGGCAGUAAGUUCAACAGGUGGCGCUGAAGAGGAUCCUCCGUGUCCGUGCGUGAUCCAAGCCUACUUAAGCUAACUCCCCUCAGCACGGUGUACUUAGAUUGAGCCCUAAUUUGCUUAUUCUCUCUCACUUUCGAUAUGAUUUUUAUAUAGUGCUUUUCUGCAGCUAUUUUCAAAGACGGAUUUUUUUUUAAAAAAAAUCUGCCUCUAAAAUAUUGAUAUGCAGAACAAUAAUUUUACCGAUGUCUCCUUUCAAAACAUCAGUCUUUCCUUUAAAACUAUCGAUAUUAGUAUCAAAAUUUUUGUGAGGGGCAAAAAGAGGUUAGCAAAAGCAGUGGCUAGCAGACAAAGAAUGUACUCAGAUCGAUACUGGCCUGUUAGGUUAACGGAAUGCUUUCAAACUGGCACUGGCCAAGGGUAUCCACCCCUACUAUCCGGUCAAAAUCUGGUUUAAAGAUGAAGGACACCAAGAAAUGACAGCAGGAGGGGAUGUGAAGUUGCCCAUCAACAGACAGCAAGAGAGCAGUCUGAGCAGACACCAAGGGCACGCGCUCAGCCUUCCCCACAACAGCAAGAUAUAUUGUUUUCCUGUUUAAACUACAGUAGGGCCCCGCUUACCGGCGUUCCGUUUUGCGGCGUUCUGCUGAUGCGGUGGCUCUCAAUUAGGGGAAAUUCCCCGUUUUAAAGCCGAUUUUGCACUUUUGUGGCAUUUUGCGGCAUUUUCGCAUCAUUUUCACGCGACGCAGCCCAUUAUAGUCAAUGGAUUCCGCUUUAUGGCGAUUUCCGCUUUACAGCGGGGGCCUGGUCCCUAACCCGCCGUAUAAGUGGUGUCCUACUGUAUAGCAAUUAUUUCUAUAUUUGCUUCUAUAUGUAUAUAUUACCAUAUGCAGAUUAUAUGCAAAUCAUGAUAAGGGCCUCCCGAAGUUUGGUGGGGGCCCUGGAAGAACCAAUGAAACAUCUAGCAACUGGCAACUAACAAGUCCUUGAACAAAAUCAGCCUAGAGGUGGGGCCUGGUAUACACACAUAGCACCCGGCUGCCAAUCUCCUCAGAGGCGGUGCGGUGGAGUGGUUAGCAUGUCAGACUAGGAGAAGGAGAGAUCCGGAUUCAAAUCUCCACUUGUGGACGUCGUUGGGUGAACUUGGGCUAGUUGCUCUCUCAGUUCUAGCCUACCUCACAGGGUUGUUGUGAGGAUAAAAGUGAGGGAAUGUCCUACUUGUGGGUUUCUCGGAAGUAUCUGGUAGGACUGUGGUGGGACUGGGCUAGAUGAAUCUGGUGGUCUGAUCUAGGAGGGUUCUUCUUAUGUUCCAAUGAGUCACACACAGAACAGUGGCUCACUCAAAGGAUGAUGGGCUCACCAAGGCUGGGUUGCAAUGACUGAUUUUACUCUCAAAGUAAAUGUUUCAGAGCAGGGCUGGUUCCAGACACGCCAGGGCCCUUGGGCACAAGCCUGCUCCAGGCCCUGGUGCUCCCUUUCCGCAAUUUGCAGCAGGAUUGCUACUGCAGAUCACACGGCGAGAGCUCCGGAGCCCCCACCAUUCCCUUGCUCAACCUACCUUUCUUGGCUGUGUUGUGUGGUUGCCUGCGCAGAGCUGCCCUUAACCAAGAUGGCAGCCAAGGUUUCCCUAAGGGGCUGAAGCCUCUGCUGCCAUCUUGGCUCAUGGCAGGGAUGUGCAUGCGUAGCAGCGAUCGUGCAACGAAUCACGGAAGAGGAGCAGAGGGGUCCCUCAGGGGCCCACCUGGCCGCCCUUUGGAGCCGGCCCUGUUUCAGAGUAUAGGGAUCUAACCUGCACCUAGAGAUGGAGGAUCUGUCACUUUCAAUUCUCUGUUUCUAAUUUUUCCAAUCAUUAAGCAAUUUGCAAUUUAAAAAAAACCCUCACGAAAAUUCUUCAGCAUUAUAGUGUGAAUUUCAUAAUAAACAUAUUUUCUAUACAGUUUUGACCAAUGUACUCAUUUUUGCAAGCAGAUUAUCCUAGUAUAAUUUUUAUUUUUAUUUAAUUACAUUUCUAGACCGCCCUAUAGCAGAAAGUUCUCAGGGCGGUGUACAACAAAUAAAAUCACAAUUAAAA